rnacentral:rRNA from 1 species
AGCUAACCUGCCCUAACAUCNGAGAUAAUGUCGGAAACUGACCCUAAUAUUCGAUAGAAGACGGUGACUGGAAUGUCCUGUCUUUCAAGUUAGGAUGGGGCUGCGGCUGAUUAGCUUGUUGGCGGGGUAAUAGCCCACCAAGGCGUCGAUCAGUAAGGGCUCUUAGCGGAGAAGCCCUGAGAGGGAAUCUGAGACACUAUUCCCAGCCCUACGGGGUGCAGCAGUCGGGAAACUUCUGCAAUACACGAAAGUGUGACAGAGCAAGCCAGAGUGCGUUUCUAUAAUUGAAACGCUUUUAUGUGAUGUAAAAAGUCGCAUGAAUAAGGACUGGGCAAGACUGGUGCCAGCCGCCGCGGUAAUCCCAGCGGUCCAAGUGGCAGCCGCGUUUAUUGGGUCUAAAACAUCCGUAGCUUGCUUCGUAAGUCUCAUGUGAAAUCUGGCUUCUCAAGGGUCAGGCGGGCAUGAGAUACUGCGUUGCUAGAGACCGGGAGACGUGAAGAGUACAGUUUGGGUAGCGGUAAAAUGCGUUGAUCCUUACUAGACUAACGAUAGCGAAGGCACUUCACGAGAACGGAUCUGACAGUGAGGGAUGAAGGCUAGGGUCGCAAAACGGAUUAGAUACCCGUGUAGUCCUAGCAGUAAACACUGCACACUAAACAUCAGUACCUCCUCGAGAGGUAUUGGUGCUGUAGGGAAGCCGUAGAGUGUGCUACCUGGGAAGUAUAGUCGCAAGACCGAAACUUAA